GUUAAGCGACUAAGCGUACACGGUGGAUGCCCUGGCAGUCAGAGGCGAUGAAGGACGUGCUAAUCUGCGAUAAGCGUCGGUAAGGUGAUAUGAACCGUUAUAACCGGCGAUUUCCGAAUGGGGAAACCCAGUGUGAUUCGUCACACUAUCAUUAACUGAAUCCAUAGGUUAAUGAGGCGAACCGGGGGAACUGAAACAUCUAAGUACCCCGAGGAAAAGAAAUCAACCGAGAUUCCCCCAGUAGCGGCGAGCGAACGGGGAGCAGCCCAGAGCCUGAAUCAGUGUGUGUGUUAGUGGAAGCGUCUGGAAAGGCGCGCGAUACAGGGUGACAGCCCCGUACACAAAAAUGCACAUGCUGUGAGCUCGAUGAGUAGGGCGGGACACGUGGUAUCCUGUCUGAAUAUGGGGGGACCAUCCUCCAAGGCUAAAUACUCCUGACUGACCGAUAGUGAACCAGUACCGUGAGGGAAAGGCGAAAAGAACCCCGGCGAGGGGAGUGAAAAAGAACCUGAAACCGUGUACGUACAAGCAGUGGGAGCACGCUUAGGCGUGUGACUGCGUACCUUUUGUAUAAUGGGUCAGCGACUUAUAUUCUGUAGCAAGGUUAACCGAAUAGGGGAGCCGAAGGGAAACCGAGUCUUAACUGGGCGUUAAGUUGCAGGGUAUAGACCCGAAACCCGGUGAUCUAGCCAUGGGCAGGUUGAAGGUUGGGUAACACUAACUGGAGGACCGAACCGACUAAUGUUGAAAAAUUAGCGGAUGACUUGUGGCUGGGGGUGAAAGGCCAAUCAAACCGGGAGAUAGCUGGUUCUCCCCGAAAGCUAUUUAGGUAGCGCCUCGUGAAUUCAUCUCCGGGGGUAGAGCACUGUUUCGGCAAGGGGGUCAUCCCGACUUACCAACCCGAUGCAAACUGCGAAUACCGGAGAAUGUUAUCACGGGAGACACACGGCGGGUGCUAACGUCCGUCGUGAAGAGGGAAACAACCCAGACCGCCAGCUAAGGUCCCAAAGUCAUGGUUAAGUGGGAAACGAUGUGGGAAGGCCCAGACAGCCAGGAUGUUGGCUUAGAAGCAGCCAUCAUUUAAAGAAAGCGUAAUAGCUCACUGGUCGAGUCGGCCUGCGCGGAAGAUGUAACGGGGCUAAACCAUGCACCGAAGCUGCGGCAGCGACGCUGAUGCGUUGUUGGGUAGGGGAGCGUUCUGUAAGCCUGCGAAGGUGUGCUGUGAGGCAUGCUGGAGGUAUCAGAAGUGCGAAUGCUGACAUAAGUAACGAUAAAGCGGGUGAAAAGCCCGCUCGCCGGAAGACCAAGGGUUCCUGUCCAACGUUAAUCGGGGCAGGGUGAGUCGACCCCUAAGGCGAGGCCGAAAGGCGUAGUCGAUGGGAAACAGGUUAAUAUUCCUGUACUUGGUGUUACUGCGAAGGGGGGACGGAGAAGGCUAUGUUGGCCGGGCGACGGUUGUCCCGGUUUAAGCGUGUAGGCUGGUUUUCCAGGCAAAUCCGGAAAAUCAAGGCUGAGGCGUGAUGACGAGGCACUACGGUGCUGAAGCAACAAAUGCCCUGCUUCCAGGAAAAGCCUCUAAGCAUCAGGUAACAUCAAAUCGUACCCCAAACCGACACAGGUGGUCAGGUAGAGAAUACCAAGGCGCUUGAGAGAACUCGGGUGAAGGAACUAGGCAAAAUGGUGCCGUAACUUCGGGAGAAGGCACGCUGAUAUGUAGGUGAAGCGACUUGCUCGUGGAGCUGAAAUCAGUCGAAGAUACCAGCUGGCUGCAACUGUUUAUUAAAAACACAGCACUGUGCAAACACGAAAGUGGACGUAUACGGUGUGACGCCUGCCCGGUGCCGGAAGGUUAAUUGAUGGGGUUAGCGCAAGCGAAGCUCUUGAUCGAAGCCCCGGUAAACGGCGGCCGUAACUAUAACGGUCCUAAGGUAGCGAAAUUCCUUGUCGGGUAAGUUCCGACCUGCACGAAUGGCGUAAUGAUGGCCAGGCUGUCUCCACCCGAGACUCAGUGAAAUUGAACUCGCUGUGAAGAUGCAGUGUACCCGCGGCAAGACGGAAAGACCCCGUGAACCUUUACUAUAGCUUGACACUGAACAUUGAGCCUUGAUGUGUAGGAUAGGUGGGAGGCUUUGAAGUGUGGACGCCAGUCUGCAUGGAGCCGACCUUGAAAUACCACCCUUUAAUGUUUGAUGUUCUAACGUUGACCCGUGAUCCGGGUUGCGGACAGUGUCUGGUGGGUAGUUUGACUGGGGCGGUCUCCUCCUAAAGAGUAACGGAGGAGCACGAAGGUUGGCUAAUCCUGGUCGGACAUCAGGAGGUUAGUGCAAUGGCAUAAGCCAGCUUGACUGCGAGCGUGACGGCGCGAGCAGGUGCGAAAGCAGGUCAUAGUGAUCCGGUGGUUCUGAAUGGAAGGGCCAUCGCUCAACGGAUAAAAGGUACUCCGGGGAUAACAGGCUGAUACCGCCCAAGAGUUCAUAUCGACGGCGGUGUUUGGCACCUCGAUGUCGGCUCAUCACAUCCUGGGGCUGAAGUAGGUCCCAAGGGUAUGGCUGUUCGCCAUUUAAAGUGGUACGCGAGCUGGGUUUAGAACGUCGUGAGACAGUUCGGUCCCUA
rnacentral:rRNA from 1 species